GGCCAUUUGGCGGCAUGCUUAACAUGCAGUCGAACGGCAGCACGGGGGCAACCCUGGUGGCGAGUGGCGAACGGGUGAGUAAUACAUCGGAACGUGUCCUGUAGUGGGGGAUAGCCCGGCGAAAGCCGGAUUAAUACCGCAUACGCUCUACGGAGGAAAGGGGGGGAUCUUAGGACCUCUCGCUACAGGGGCGGCCGAUGGCAGAUUAGCUAGUUGGUGGGGUAAAGGCCUACCAAGGCGACGAUCUGUAGCUGGUCUGAGAGGACGACCAGCCACACUGGGACUGAGACACGGCCCAGACUCCUACGGGAGGCAGCAGUGGGGAAUUUUGGACAAUGGGCGCAAGCCUGAUCCAGCAAUGCCGCGUGUGUGAAGAAGGCCUUCGGGUUGUAAAGCACUUUUGUCCGGAAAGAAAACGUCGUGGUUAAUACCCGUGGCGGAUGACGGUACCGGAAGAAUAAGCACCGGCUAACUACGUGCCAGCAGCCGCGGUAAUACGUAGGGUGCAAGCGUUAAUCGGAAUUACUGGGCGUAAAGCGUGCGCAGGCGGUUCGCUAAGACAGAUGUGAAAUCCCCGGGCUUAACCUGGGAACUGCAUUUGUGACUGGCGGGCUAGAGUAUGGCAGAGGGGGGUAGAAUUCCACGUGUAGCAGUGAAAUGCGUAGAGAUGUGGAGGAAUACCGAUGGCGAAGGCAGCCCCCUGGGCCAAUACUGACGCUCAUGCACGAAAGCGUGGGGAGCAAACAGGAU
rnacentral:rRNA from 1 species